AUGCGGAGGGUGCAAGCGUUGUCCGGAUUUAUUGGGUUUAAAGGGUGCGUAGGCGGCCCGUUAAGUCAGUGGUGAAAGGUAUCAGCUUAACUGAUGAAGUGCCAUUGAAACUAGCGGGCUUGAGUACAGACGAGGUAGGCGGAAUUUAUGGUGUAGCGGUGAAAUGCAUAGAUACCAUAAAGAACACCGAUAGCGAAGGCAGCUUACUAGACUGAGACUGACGCUGAGGCACGAAAGCGUGGGGAGCAAACAGGAUUAGAAACCCCAGUAGUCC
rnacentral:rRNA from 1 species